UACGUAGGUGGCAAGCGUUGUCCGGAUUUACUGGGCGUAAAGCGCACGUAGGCGGAUUGUUAAGUCAGAGGUGAAAUCCCGGAGCUCAACUUCGGAACUGCCUUUGAUACUGGCAAUCUCGAGUCCGGAAGAGGUUAGUGGAAUUCCCAGUGUAGAGGUGAAAUUCGUAGAUAUUGGGAAGAACACCAGUGGCGAAGGCGGCUAACUGGUCCGGUACUGACGCUGAGGUGCGAAAGCGUGGGGGAGCAAACAGGG
rnacentral:rRNA from 1 species